ACAAGGAGAAUGGAACCAAGUUGGAAAACGCUCUGCAGGAUAUUAUCCAGGGGAACUUGCCCAACCAUAAAGCAAGUCCUUAGAGACUUACAAAGAGACUUAGAGUCCCACACAAUAAUAAUGGGAGAAUUUAACACCCCACUAUCAACAUUAGACAGAUCAAUGAGACAGAUAGUUAACAAGGAUAUUCAGGAAUUGAACUCAGCUCUGCACCAAGUGGACCUAAUAGACAUCUACAGAACUCUCCACCCCAAAUCAACAGAAAAUACAUUCUUCUCAGCACCACAUCACACUUAUUCCAAAACUGACCACAUAGUUGGAACUAAAACACCCCUCAGCAAAUGUAAAAGAACAGAAAUUAUAACAAACUCUUUCUCAGACCACAGUGCAAUCAAACUAGAACUCAGGAUUAAUAAAUUCAUGCAAAACCACUCAACUACAUGGAAACUGAACAAUCUGCUCCUGAAUGACUACUGGGUACAUAACGAAAUGAAGGCAGAAAUAAAGAUGUUCUUUGAAACCAAUGAGAACAAAGACACAACAUACCAGAAUCUCUGGGACACAUUUAAAGCAGUGUGUAGAGGGAAAUUUAUAGCACUAAAUGCCCACAAGAGAAAGCAGGAAAGAUCUAAAAUUGACACCCUAACAUCACAAUUAAAAGAACUAGAGAAGCAAGAGCAAACACAUUCAAAACCUAGCAGAAGGCAAGAAAUAACUAAGAUCAGAGCAGAACUGAAGGAGAUAGAGACACAAAAAACCCUUCAAAAAAUCAAUGAAUCCAGGAGCUGGUUUUUUGAAAAGAUCAACAAAAUUAAUAGACUACGAGCAAAACUAAUAAAGAAGAAAAGAGAGAAGACUCAAAUAGAUGCAGUAAAAAAUUAUAAAGGGGAUAUCACCACCGAUCCCACAGAAAUACAAACUACCAUCAGAGAAUACUAUAAACACCUCUACACAGAUAAACUAGAAAAUCUAGAAGAAAUGGACAAAUUCCUUGACACAUACACCCUCCCAAGACUAAACCAGGAAGAAUUUGAAU
rnacentral:lncRNA from 1 species